CCAAGAAACAUGACGGAGGUAUUCGACGCACCUACUUUGCCAAGCAGUAUGAUGGAGGUCUUUUGAAAGACUACUUCGCCAAGGAAUAUGACGGAGGUGAAUGGGCUGCCUUCUUCGGCAAACAGCAUGACGGGGGUAUUCGACGCACCUACUUCACCAAGGAACAUGACGGAGGUGAAUGGGCUGCCUUCUUCGGCAAACAGCAUGACGGGGGUAUUCGACGCACCUACUUCACCAAGGAACAUGACGGAGGUGAAUGGGCUGCCUUCUUCGGCAAACAGCAGGACGAAGGUAUCCGUCGCACCUACUUCGCCAAGCAACAUGACAGAGGUCUUUUGCGAGAUUAUUUUGCCAAGCAAGAAGACGGAGGUCUUUUACGAGACUAUUUCGCCAAGGAACAGGACGGAGGUCUCUUACGGGACUACUUCGCGAAGGACGAAGGUCUCUUGCGAGACUACUUCGCGAUG
rnacentral:lncRNA from 1 species